UACGUAGGGUGCGAGCGUUAAUCGGAAUUACUGGGCGUAAAGUGUGCGCAGGUGGCCGCGCAAGUCGAGUGUGAAAUCCCCGAGCUUAACUUGGGAAUUGCGCUCGAAACUACGUGGCUCGAGUGUGGCAGAGGAAGGUGGAAUUCCACGUGUAGCGGUGAAAUGCGCAGAUAUCAGGAGGAACACCCAUAGCGAAGGCAGCUCGCUGGGACGGUACUGACGCUGAGGUGCGAAAUCGUGGGGAGCAAACAGG
rnacentral:rRNA from 1 species